rnacentral:lncRNA from 1 species
GAUGGUCUUUUCAUGCCCAGACCGGUUUGAAUGCCACUUAGCCGGUCCAACAUGGUCGAUAAUCGGUCCAACCGGGUAUAUUGGAGGCAAAUCCAUGUAAUUGGAAGAGAAAGAGUCAAGCGCGUAGGGUUCGAGCUCCUGAAACGUAUUUACAAUGAUACCCCUGGUCUCUUUGUAUCUAAGGGUGUGACGUACAAACGUCGAGUAACCAAAUUCUUCUUUUUUGAUACAGAACGAUGGAAAGAUGUUCGACGGAAUCGCAUUGGCGUAACUAGGUACUGCUAACUCGGUGACGAAAGACUCGGUGGCUGGCAACGUUGUGAGGUGGAGCAUAAAGCCAAGAGACGCCGCCGGAGACGAGAAGAAAAGGUAACA